AUUGAACGCUGGCGGCAGGCCUAACACAUGCAAGUCGAACGAGUGGCGGACGGGUGAGUAAUGUAUGGGAAACUGCCCGAUGGAGGGGGAUAACUACUGGAAACGGUGGCUAAUACCGCAUACCAUCGGAUGAACCCAGAUGGGAUUAGCUUGUAGGUGAGGUAACGGCUUACCUAGGCGACGAUCCCUAGCUGGUCUGAGAGGAUGAGCAGCCACACUGGGACUGAGACACGGUCCAGACUCCUACGGGAGGCAGCAGUGGGGAAUAUUGCACAAUGGGCGCAAGCCUGAUGCAGCCAUGCCGCGUGUAUGAAGAAGGCCUUAGGGUUGUAAAGUACUUUCAGUGGGGAGGCGUUACCCACAGAAGAAGCACCGGCUAACUCCGUGCCAGCAGCCGCGGUAAUAC
rnacentral:rRNA from 1 species